AGGCCGGUCUGGGUGAGAAUCGGGGGACGGAAGCCAUGCUGCUCUCCGCUGUCUCUUUUGCCAAGAGCAAGUCAAAAACUAUCCUGGUGAAACUAGUGAGCCAAGCUGGGACAGGUUUCUCCUUCAACCACAAGAGAAGCCGACUCCGAGAGAAGCUGAGCCUUCUGCACUAUGAUCCAAUAGUGGUAACUCAUAAAUCAAGUUAAAAUGUCUCCAGAAAUUGCCUUGAACCGAAUUUCUCCAAUGCUCUCCCCAUUCAUAUCAAGCGUGGUCCGAAAUGGGAAGGUGGGACUGGAUGCUACAAACUGUU
ensembl:processed_transcript Gm43809 predicted gene 43809